UUCACAGACUGAAGUUCUGGUUAUGGCCCUUUCUAGGGGGAAAGCCUGAUUUCCUAUGAAAUGUCAGGGUCAAAUCCCAAAUUUAUUUAACAACGUCAGAACACCAUUUUGAGAGAGACUGUUUUGGUACUUUCUGUGAAGUGUCACUGCUAUAAGGUUUUUUUUUUUUUUUUUUCCUCCUCCUGCAAGUGGGUUGCCUGGCUCGGCGCUAGGGCUGCACGGACAAGUUGUGGCAAGUAAAGAAUGGUUCUCACGGUUGGCUUGGCAACCUGAUUGUGUCGUGAUCACUACUAAGGAAGAGUUCUCCCAGUGAUGCCACUUGAACUGAUUCCUGAGCACCACUUGAGACUAAAUCCAAAAUAGCAUCUUUCAUUGGCCCAUUCCCCCAGGCAGUGACCCCCUCAGCCGAAAGGUGCUCUGGAGAGUCACCCGUGUAGGUUCAUCUUUCUGGUCCUUAGACCUGGACCAUGGAGCUGAUGCUGCCCUGGGACAGCCCCGAAGGAGCCAGACAGGGUGUCCAUUCCUCUGAGCAGGUGGGUUUUUUGAGGAAGAAAUGACGAGGAAGAAGGACAACUAAAAGGCCCUGCCUUAGCAGCCUUUCAGAGACCUUUAAAGCUAUGAAAAAUAAAAAAAACCAAGUGCUGUCCUUCCUUUAAUUUCACCCCCAUAUUCCUUAGUCCAUCCCUGGAUUUUCCUCCUUCUGUGUUUGCAGUGCGUUUUGACUUCCAAUGUGAACUGCUUACCACCAUCUGACACAAGCACUGACAAAUCUGUGCUAUCCUGCUAUAUAAUAUUUGCUGUCCUUAAUCUUUGUUAUUCUGCUUCUUUUAUACACAGUUAACGCUGGCAGAUCCGACUGUCAACCAGUCGCUUUUAUUCUUCGUGUUAUCUAGUUGCCCCUUUAUCUCAGGGGAAACAAAUAUCAUAAAAAGCUGUGUAUUUUCGGAGUACUGUUCCAUCUUAGCUUCAGUUUUUUCUGUGCGAGGACUCACUGGAAAACAAUACGCUGCAUGGUGCAAAACUCUGUUUUCUUCCCCUGAAAUAUGCACCUAGCUUAACUGUUUCUUCCUCAGCAGAGGACAAGCUGCAGAAGGUUUCCGGUCCAUCCUUGAGAAGCUUCUCCUAUCGUGGUUUUCAAAGUUUCCUCGUAGGAUGCUCAUCCUUUGUUGAACAACUCUCAUUACCGAUUUGCGGUCAGUUCCGUUUCAGCAGUAACUUCACCUCACGUGUAACCGCGUUCUGCCAAAGGGAGGUUCUGUGAUCCCAGCACUAAAGAGGCGCUGUUCGUGUGCCUUCAGGUUGACAGACUGAACUGAUCUUGCGUGAAUCAGCCUUGCAUCUACUCGGCUCACCUUGUUAGAACUGUAGACUAACUAAGGUUGGAGGAGAUUUCCGAAGGCCUCGAGUCCAAAGCAGGCUUCGCUUCAAAGUCAGAUUGAGUUGCUUGAAGUCUUACCCAGUUGUGGAGAUGCUGAGAGAAGGACUCCUCUGCACAUCCAUUAAAUCUCCCCGUCCUGCAAAAUAAGACAGAGCUUCUACAGCCAGGAGCUUCUGCUCUGAAGGCAAGAUCAGGCAGCAACUAUGCAAGAGCUACAGUCUCUCUACAAAGUUUGUCUGAUGGACUGAGGACCCCACAGUACAUCAAAUAACAUAAGGAACUGGAUGGAUUUCUUCUAAUGAUGGGGCUCACCUGAUUUUGAGCUAUGUACCACACUUCUAGAUGGCUAAGCUAGGCUGCUUUGCCAGGGGAUGAGGAAGGCAGCAUCUUGGGGGUGAUUUGUCCCAUCAGUUUCAGAGAAGUGUCUAAAAGAUAGUCACCUUCUGGAGGCGCACAUCUCUUCGUUUACUAAUGUGGGAGUCUAGAAAACUAUCUUGGACUUAAUGACCAGGUGCGCGUCCCAGCUGAGCAUGUGGUGCUUAGUGUCCACCUUAGGAGGAGUAAAAUUCAAAGAAAUUGCUUCUUGGGACCCACGUUAUUUUUAAUUUACUUAGCAAACUUUGGUCAGACUGCAUAGUUAAACUACAUUCCAUUGAAGGUUAAAGGAAGAAUGUAAGGCUGAUGCAGAACAAACAGUUUCCUAUGUUACUCAAAGAAGAGGUUGUCUUUAUGUUGCAAGAUUAGUGCAACUCACAGUGACAAGGCACGCAGAGGUGCAAAGGUCUACUGUAUCUGUUGAUACCAUAUGUUUUAUUUCUGUGUUGCUAGUGAAUUCAAAAUGGCAGCCUCCUGCGCAAGAGAACUGUAUGGUGGUUGGUUUUUUCUCUUCUUACUAUUCUCUAAUUUGGAUCUUUUUUUGGCUGUUACUACCAAAUAGUAGGCCUAAUGGCUUCUACGCUUUAAAAAAGACUGUGAAAACAAGAGAACGUUAGCUCUAUUCAGUGCCUGGCUCGGGAUAAUGGGAAGAACUGAGGAACACAGAGCUCUCUGUGGGGAAAGGCAAAAAAAUGAGCAGAAAUUAACAGCUUUGAUUUAACCCUUGAGGUUUACUAACUCAUAUUUCUAGUUGGUAUUGCUCUGAUAUGGAGUGCUGGUAUGUCCAGAAAUCAAGAUGCCAGCACUGCUGCUUUUUAAUACUCCUUCCUGUUUCAGUUCCCCUAUUGAACCAAUUUUUUGCAGUACCAACCUUCCCACUGCAAAUUGCUAUGGCAAUAGAAGUCAAACACAAAAACAAGGCUCCCAAACACGUGAAGGUUUAUUUAUCCACAUGAAUUUGACUGCAUACUUUCUCAUGAAUAUUUCUGGGGUAUGGGUCUCGGAACAGAAUGAUCUACAAAAAAGUUGCAUUUAAUGUGAAAAAUAUGGAUGACAGGUAUCUAGGAUCUGUCAUUCCAGUUCUCCUGGGGAAUUGACUUACAGAAAGUAGAUAUUCUCCAUCUUUUAGGAAAAAAGAAUCCUUGCAGUGACAGCAGGCUACUCAGUCCCUCUUGAACUCAUUUAUUUCUUUUGAAAACAUACUACACUGCUGUAGUAAUCUAGGACAUAUCUACACUGUAACUAACUUGGCUCCCUACUUCUUUCCUGGGUCUGCGGUUGCUCAUGUUGGUUAAUUCCCAGGCCCUUUACAGGGGUGAACCAAUUAGUUCCUUCUGGAGUGAAGGUCCGGUUCAUUCUGGGAUUUCUGUGGAUAGUAGUGACAAAACUGCGCUAGAUGUGGCUCCUCCUGCCCUCCAAUGCUACCCUAGAAAGCUCUGUAUUUUCAACCAUGCAACACGUCUGCUCCCUGUUGUAUCUUAAAAACAUCAGGUGGGCUGCUGCGUACAUGUUACCAUGGACAUUCGCAACGGUGAAAAGAAGUUCACUGCAAGGAGAAUUGUCUAACAGCCCCAGUAGUGCCGCACAUUGGUGCCUAAUGCUCCUGCAAAGAACCCAGCCAGUCUGCAGGAGCUGCUCUGACAGCUAGGGGUUGCCCCGGCAUACCUACAUUGAGCAAAAUAGAGGUAACCACAAAGCGGCAACAGGAAAAAUCAAAAAGCCACUUUUUGGUGUAUUGUUGACUGGUGACUACUUGGAGUGCAGUUUAUUUAAAUGGAAGACGGUUGUUUUAUAUAGUUUCUGUGCUGUUGCUAAAAUGGUAGUGCUUUAAAAUCCGGUACUUUAUUUUAGAUGUGCUUCCUCAGUGCUAGAAAAAGUUCUUUAUAUCACCCCCUAUUGUCUGAAUGGCACUACUAAAUCACAAGCUGAGGCUUCUGUUUCCUUAAACAUUUUUAACAGAGGUGUACUUAAAAUGCUGUAAGUGUAAACAUACCUUAUGAAAAUAAAUAGAAUUAAAUGUGAUAAAGCACUUGCUCUCAAGUUAAAUACACCAUGUGAUUUAUCAUUAUUUUAUUAAUGAACUCAUAUCUCAGCAAGUGAUUUUUCAUAUCAUCUUUUAAUUAAAGCUGAUUUGUGUCUCCAUGGAAACUUUUAGCAUGAACUACCAUUAUUGUAAGUCUAUAAACAAUCACAAAAACUUAUAGCCUGUGAACAGACCCAUAACUGCAGGAAAAUUUUGUAUUUUUAACUACUUAAUAAGAAACAUUUGUUGAAUUUCCCUAUUUACGAGGCGCUCUCUAUUCUGACAAAGCAUCUCAAAAAUCUAUGAGUCUAUUGGAGUUUACAGCCCAGUCGGUACAGCAAUGAUGGUAGGCCGUAUGUUUGACGAGAAAGUGACUUUAUACUGUAACUGAACACAGUUUAGGGCAAAGAAUGGAAUAGUUCUGUGAUUUCUUUUUACAGAGCCUUUUCUAUUGUGAAAACGUCUCCUGGGAGGAAAAUGGGAAGUGGUCCAUGAUGUUUAAAGAUGGACAAGGAGUGGAUGAAACAGCCAUUUCUGAAGUGCAAUAUAAAACUAAAUGACCCCUCCAUCCAAAAUUGGAUACUCCCAUCAAGAAUUAUUGUAAAUAUAAAUGGCAACAUCAGAAGCACGUCACUGAGCUUGUUGUAAAACUCCAUCCCUCAGAAAAGAAAGAGUUUUAGACUUAUAUAAAUGUAAAUCCUUUCUCAAAUUAGUUCCACAUUAGCAUAGCCUGAGAGAGUGCUGUUUCACAUAGCAGCUGGGUUGCUGAUAAGUGCCUACUGGUCCCCUGAAAUGUAACUCCAGUCUAGCAAUGGAAAUUAAUCAAAUAUAAACUAAUGACAGUGGCCAUCUGGUGCAAAGACCACAAGAAAAAGAAAUGGGCGGAGUGAGGAGAAGAGCUAUACACAUUCAUGGCAGCACAUAUCCUGCCCAGCGUUACGGGAGGUGGAUGAACUAUCUGGAGGUGACAGUUUGUUUAUUGACCAUUGUUCUGGGUUUCCCACCUCUUUUAAAAGAUGUUUGUCAACAAAUAAUGUCUAGUUAUGAAUUGUUUAAUUGGCUUCUUGCCUUCUGAAUUACUCACGUAUAGAUUAGCUUAGAUACUUGUAGCCCUCAGGCAGUUGUAUCAGCUAUAUGCUUGAUAUGUCAUAUAGACUUGAUAUAGGCUUGUGUAGUAGCCGUGGGCUGGUGCAGCCUUGUGACCUUCCAGUCUCAUCUGUCCCUUACUGUAUUGCCUCAUUAUAAAUAGCAGACUUUAUGCUGGACUUUCCUUCUUUUACCUGGCUGAAUGAUGCAAAAAGAGGGAAAGAAAACUACGCAUUGACCAAUUUCUGGGAGGAAGAAAGAAGAGAGGAGUUAAAAGCUAUGACAGAAAACAUGGGCAAUUUUUCUCGCUAGGUUAUGCAUCAAGUAUUAGCUGAGGUUGCUCACUGAGAUGUGAAACUUAUAUAGUACCACCAACUGGAUCUGAAUAUGCUGCAAAAUUGUGGUCCUAUGUCCUUCUCGAUUAUCUAGCAUCUACAUUGCUGAGAUUCUAGGUAAGAGGUUUAUAUCUACUUUGUAGGGAACAUGCAGCCAGGUACCACGCUUCUGCUUCAUUUUACCCUCAAAAUACAAUCUUUCUGGCUCAAACUCAUUUUAUGAUGCUUUUUGUAUGGCAGUGGCAUUGAUUGAAUUUCUUUCCAUUACUUUUUUUUCGUCACAACAAACCAACAAUAAUUAGAAGAUGGAUAAAUGGACAUGAUUCCAGGGGGAAAGCUCAUCUGAGCAUACCUGCCAGUCAGGUGUUUGGGGAGGAACAUGUUUCUUUUAGCGAUAUAAAUGGUGAUUUCUACAACGCUAUUUUGCGUAUAACUAGGGGAAAGUCAUUUCUGGUAAUUGUUUUUUUUAACUAUCCCCUCAAUUUCCUGUCUGUUAAUCUUCCUUAAUAGGAUUACAUGAUUUUGCACAUUAUAUAGGGAAGACAGCUCAGAUAUCCUUAGUGUUCCUGUAAGAUUUGUGCAGAUCAAUGGCAGAGAAGAGAUUUAGCCCAAAUCAAUUGCUAUCCUCAGCCCUGCUGCAAGAGAUCAACUGUAUUACUAGCUACCAGGCAGCCAGUGCUAGCGAGGAUUGUUAGGAAUGCCCUGACACUGGAAGAGCCCUGGUCAGAGCUGAGCCUUGCUUGGGACAAGCUGAACAUAAGAUGUAAAAACUACAGUGAAGGGCGCUUGCUAUGACCCUCUACUUGCAGACUACUUUCGUUUCUCUUUUGGAAUUAAGUUUGUUCUGAAGACACAGCAUGUUAAGAUUGAACAGUAACUUUCUAUCUCUUCCUAUUCCCCGAAGCCAAAAAAAAUUUGGAGUGGUAUCUACCCCGUCAGUCUAAUACUUGCAGUUUCUCAGCUUCCCUAGAAAUGUGCCAGAAAGACGCAGUGCAGCCUAAUUGAAGAGCAAUUCAUUUAAAAUGAGCAAAGAGGUCUGCCCCACCUGUCAGCUCUGUGGACUUAGAGGACUGUAGCUGGACAGAAACCAACCAUCUGUGUUGCAAGCUUUCUUUGGCUGCUUUUAUAACUUAAUGAAUGAAAUAAUGUACUCAUAGACUGUGAUUGUAAGUUGUUGAAUGACAGUAUGCCAAGCAUACUGUAAUUGUAAUUAAGACACAAAAGGUAAUCAAAAUGUGGAUAAUUAUAUCAUGUGCAACUUGGCUUAGCUGUUUUUGUAAGAGCCAGAGAAAAGUUCUCUUGUGAAGCAUUGCUUUCUUGUCUGGAAGGUCUAAUCGGGUAUUCUUCCUUUCUUCAAAGUGUCGUAUUCUGGACUCUACAGGAACUGAUGUA